UGUUAGAUGCUAAUAGAAGCUCAACGUGUGUCUCAUCUUUUCUGUAUCACAGGUCAGUAAAAAUAUAUCUUGAUGCAUAAAUAUUGAUUAUCUUUAGGAGUUGAAGAGGUUAUUGAAUCGGGAGUCAACUAGUGAGUCACGUUAUCCAGUUUAUGAUGAGUGUUGUGUAGAAAACGGGACAUAAUUCCGGAGGCUAAUUUAUGCUAAUGCUAGCGGCCUGUGUAGCUGUGCUGAGCUAGCUGAGAAACAGCUGAAGGACUGCUGGAUUCACCUUGAACUGGUUGGAUUUUAUACAUUUCGAAACAAUUUUCAGCGUCAAACGUUGAGAGGACAAAAUAACCAUUUACCCUCAGCACAUCCAAGGUUGCCAGAUCAACUCUGCUGCUCAAAUAAGGAAGCAACCAGCAGGACUCUGGAAAGCAGACUGCAUCCAUUCAGCCAAUCGGUCCUCUAGAGUGCAGAAAGGUCAUCAGAUGUGGUUCCACGUCGUCCGUUUCCAGCUCGCUGGGUUUCAUCCAGACCAGAGGUGAUGACUUCAGUUUUCUUUCUGCUGUUGUCUGAUCGCUACAAUCUCUUCUGCUGAGAAAGCCAGUAACUCCAGUGAUGGAUAAUAAUGACCUGAUAAGGAACAUUUGUAUUUUAUUUAUUUAUUUAUUUCAUCUCUGAUAAAUAUUCACUGAUGGUAAAAACUGUCAGUGGGACGCAAUUAACAUUUUAAACCAGUUGGUUACAUAGUCUGUAAUUAACUAAUCUCAUUUUAACCAAAAACCAUGUAUUGAUCAAAUAAGCACCAUUUUCAGUUAAAAAACUAAAUUUUUGCUGCUAAAUUACUGAAUAAAUAGACAGAUGAGCUCAACAACAAAGAUAUGAAUCAUUUUUAAUCUUCAGGUUCUUCAACCAGCAGAUUAAAGAGUAAAGUUUAUCUUUCCAGAGAUUCAGAAAUGUGGACUGUAGUCACUGACAUUAGCGUUAGCUGCUACAUGUUAGCCUUGAGAUGCUAUUUUAGGCUUGAAUAGCUUUGCCGAUAGGCUAACUGUUGUUAGCACAACUGGAACACACAGCAGUGUUUCUGAGCGUCUGAUUGGAUCAGAUCUUCUGAAACAUCUGAUCAGCUCAGCUGCUGAUGUGCAGAUUUCCUCCACAAGCUGAAACUUUUUUCAAGCAAUUUGAACAAGUGGAGUCAAAUUCAGGUUCUUGUGUGCAGGUGUUGAUGACAUCACAGGAGGCAGAGGAAUACCAGGAGACAUUGGAAAAUAUCCAUGUGGAUAAUUUUUGAGAGAUUCUGAAGGAUUUUAGUUUUUUAUCUUCAUCUUUCCAUGUCUGAGUCAGAGUUUGUCUAGAAUGACUCUCACACCGUUAUGGAUGCUACUGGGAUUACUAAUCUGAUGCAAGCAGCGAUGAAGAGCAUGAUGACCGUCAGAGGUUUAGCUAAAACUAAUUAGUAUAUUGGUGAUGCAGCAGGAACACAACAGAAUAAAAUACAAUAGUUCUCUGGCCCUUCCUGUAAAGAUCAUCAGUGUUAUUAUCUUCAUGACAUGUUGACUGAAAUUGAUCAGUGAAGAAGUUUGAUGAUGACAUCAUCCAAAUUCACCUUUCACCUUUCCACCUUUCUGAAAUCUUUCCCACACAUCAUGUUUCACUGCUUUAGAAGCAGGACUUUAAUUAUUGUGAAUGAUGUCAGAAUGUCACAUCUGGAUUUAUUUGUUUUUACUGUUGAGGAGAAAAUGAGUUAAACAUCUGAAUGCAUCAGAUACUGAUGUCUGUAUGAGGAUUGGCUCAGUUUGUUGUGAUUGUUCUCCUACUGCUGGAUGGGAGCAAACUCCAACCAGGUCUGUGUGAAAUAUGCAUCAACAGGGUUUAGUGAAACACAGACACAUCCAUUCUGCAUUAAGACCCAUCGCAGUGGUAGAGGAUUCUGGGAAACAGUCUGGGUUGACUGUAUGUAACCUCAUAUUCUGAAAACGAACAUAAAGAAGCUCAUUUCUUCCUUUCCUGAUGAGUUUGCUUCCUUUUUGUGUCGUUUGGCCCUUCAGGUGCAACAUUCUGAGGACUUUUCGAGAAUUAAUCAAAUAUUUACGUGUUUCAGCUAAAUCUGCAUUUGGGUUUCAGCCGUUGGAUACGUUUUAUUUAUCCUGGAGUUUCCAGCUGUUUAAUUUACUCUGCCAUCACGAUACUCAGUCAUGCCAUGUUUAUAUAAUCUGGACAACAUUUUUUCUACGUAUUCUUACUGAAUCAACUCCAGAUGUGUCAUAGUGUCUCAGAGCUCAGCUUGUGAAAUGUUGGAAGAUUUUCUGGAGUGAAGCUGCUUUUUGUCUCCCCUGCAGACAUUUGAGUCACCCGGUGAUGAAUCAGGAUCAAAUAAUGUUUGAAUCAACACUUGAAAUCACAAGAAUUAAUGGGUCUAAAACACGCACUAACUUUUUUAGUCUGUGUUUUCCCCCAGAGCGGACAUGUUUUACUUUGCCAUUCAGCCUCAUUCCUGUUUCAUCAAAUUGUUCACAGCUCUGACAAAACCCGACUCCAGCGAGGCUCUGUUAACUUUAACGUGUUCUAACUGGUGUGCACGUCAUACCUGGUUUUCUGUUGGAUCGGAAGCCAAAAUGGAUCUGCUGUGUUUUGGGCUUUUUGCAGUUCUGACCAGGAAAGCAUCCAAGUUAAAACAAACACAUAGAAUGUGUGAACAUGUAGAC